CCCUUAGAUGUUCUGGGCUGCACGCGCGCUACACUGAAGCGUUCAACGAGUAUUCACCUUGCCCGGGAGGGUUGGGUAAUCUUUUGAAAACGCUUCGUGAUGGGGAUAGAUUAUUGCAAUUAUUAAUCUUCAACGAGGAAUUCCUAGUAAGCGCGAGUCAUCAGCUCGUGCUGAUUACGUCCCUGCCCUUUGUACACACCGCCCGUCGCUCCUACCGAUUGAAUGAUCCGAUGAAUACCAUGGAUUGAGAGUACGAAUAGGUUCGCUUAUUUCUGCUGCUCGAGAAGUGGAGUAAAUCUUAUCAUUUAGAGGAAGGAGAANUCGUANCA
rnacentral:rRNA from 1 species